CUUGGCACCAAUUUUGUAUAUCUUAAAUUAGGUUGUAUAUUCCUCCUAUUUAUUUGUAACUCAUUCAAUGUAAUUACAUAAGGUGGAAUAAAAGAAAUCUGCUUACUAUUAAAACAUGGUAUUAGAGUAGGUUGGAGACCAUCUCAGGCAUUCUUUUCUCAAAAAUCCACAACCUUCUUCUUGUAGAACUUUCCUCGAACAUAUGGCCGACAAAGAAGCUAUCACCAACGUAGGUGAUUCUACAUCCACUCCCCAAGCCUUAUUCCCAGAAUUCACACAAAAAAUGACAGAAGCCUUAUCCAAAACUCAAAAUUCAAUCACAAACAAUGAAAACUCAAUCCCAAUUGGCAACAAGCUUGAUGGUUCGAACUAUUCCUUGUAAUCCCAAGUUAUGGAGAUGUACAUCUACGGAAAAGAUAAAUUGGGCUAUCUGAAUGGUGACUCUCCACCGCCUCCACAAACUGAUCCUACCUUUCGAAAAUGGAGAACCAAAAAGGCCAUUGUUAAGGGUAGGUUAAUUAACUCUAUGGACCCAGCCCUUAUUGGAAAUUUAAUUCAAUUCUCCACUGCAAAGGUAGUUUGGGAUGCCAUUACCAUGACCUUCUUCGACGGGAAUGACGCUUAUCAGGUUUACGAACUUCGACGACGGGUCACUCGACUGAGACAAUCGAGUGGCUCGUUGGAGAAAUAUUACACAAAUUUGCAAGGGCUGUGGUGUGAAAUUGGCUUUCGCCACCUCAAUCCAAUGGAGUGUGCCAUUGAUAUUCAACACUACAACAAAAUGCUCCAAGAAGAUUGAGUUUAUACCUUCUUGGACGGACUCGACGACCAGCUGGACGGGAUUCGCAGCAGCGUCUUGCUGAUGAAGCCAUUCCCUUCCGUCAAACAGGCGUAUGUUCAUGUUCGUAGGGAGGCACUUAGGCGGGUGGUCAUGUCCUCCUCUUACACCGACAACCUCUCCGGUGCGGUUCUGGCCACCAAAGGAACUAAGAUGGGUCCAUCGUCUCUGACUCUUAAUAAGGCACACGACACCAAGGAAAAAAUAAGCUCUGAAGGGGCUAAAUGCAUGUAUUGUGGAAAUAUAAGGCGCACGCAUAAUAAUUGUUUUAAACUUAGUG
rnacentral:lncRNA from 1 species